ACCCGUACUACAUGGAGCCGGGGCACGGGGGGUGGGAGGGGACCGCGCCCACCGAGGGCUUCGAGCCCGAGGCCAUAGAGUACGAGGAGGAGGUGCGGUACGCCACGGCAAAGUUUGCCAUCCUCGACACCCUGC
rnacentral:ribozyme from 1 species